rnacentral:rRNA from 1 species
GACGAACGCUGGCGGCGUGCUUAACACAUGCAAGUCGAACGGAAAGGCCCUGCUUUUGUGGGGUGCUCGAGUGGCGAACGGGUGAGUAACACGUGAGUAACCUGCCCUUGACUUUGGGAUAACUUCAGGAAACUGGGGCUAAUACCGGAUAGGAGCUCCUGCUGCAUGGUGGGGGUUGGAAAGUUUCGGCGGUUGGGGAUGGACUCGCGGCUUAUCAGCUUGUUGGUGGGGUAGUGGCUUACCAAGGCUUUGACGGGUAGCCGGCCUGAGAGGGUGACCGGCCACAUUGGGACUGAGAUACGGACCAGACUCCUACGGGAGGCAGCAGUGGGGAAUAUUGCACAAUGGGAGGAAGCCUGAUGCAGCAACGCUGCGUGCGGGAUGACGGCCUUCGGGUUGUAAACCGCUUUCGCCUGUGACGAAGCGUGAGUGACGGUAAUGGGUAAAGAAGCACCGGCUAACUACGUG